rnacentral:misc_RNA from 1 species
GAUGAAGAACGCAGUGAAAUGCGAUAAGUAGUGUGAAUUGCAGAAUUCAGUGAAUCAUCGAAUCUUUGAACGCACAUUGCGCCCCUUGGUAUUCCAUGGGGCAUGCCUGUUCGAGCGUCAUUUGUACCCUCAAGCUUUGCUUGGUGUUGGGCGUCUUGUCGUAUUACGACUCGCCUUAAAUACAUUGGCAGCCGGCACUUUGGCCUAGGAGCGCAGCACAUUUUGCGAUCGUAGCCCGUUGUACUGGCGUCCAUCAAGAACGUUUACCACGUUUGACCUCGGAUCAGGUAGGGAUACCCGCUGAACUUAAGCAUAUCAAUAAGCGGAGGA